GAUGAAGAACGCAGCGAAACGCGAUAUGUAAUGUGAAUUGCAGAAUUCAGUGAAUCAUCGAAUCUUUGAACGCACAUGGCGCCUUCCAGUAUCCUGGGAGGCAUGCCUGUCCGAGCGUCGUUUCAACCCUCGAGCCCCCGUGGCCCGGCGUUGGGGAUCUGCCACGGCAGGCCCCUAAAACCAGUGUCGGACCCGAAGGCCCUCUCCUUUGCGCAGUAGCAUCAGCCUCGCAUUGGGAUCCCUCGGCGUCCUGCCUCUAAACCCCCCACAAGUCCGCUCCGGCGGCACCAAGGUUGACCUCGGAUCAGGUAGGAAUACCCGCUGAACUUAAGCAUAUCAAUAAGCGGAGGA
rnacentral:misc_RNA from 1 species